rnacentral:rRNA from 1 species
GAUGAACGCUGGCGGCGUGCCUAAUACAUGCAAGUCGAGCGAACAGACGAGGAGCUUGCUCCUCUGACGUUAGCGGCGGACGGGUGAGUAACACGUGGAUAACCUACCUAUGAGACUGGGAUAACUUCGGGAAACCGGAGCUACUACCGGAUAAUAUAUUGAACCGCAUGGUUCAAUAGUGAAAGACGGUUUUGCUGUCACUUAUAGAUGGAUCCGCGCCGCAUUAGCUAGUUGGUAAGGUAACGGCUUACCAAGGCGACGAUGCGUAGCCGACCUGAGAGGGUGAUCGGCCACACUGGAACUGAGACACGGUCCAGACUCCUACGGGAGGCAGCAGUAGGGAAUCUUCCGCAAUGGGCGAAAGCCUGACGGAGCAACGCCGCGUGAGUGAUGAAGGUCUUCGGAUCGUAAAACUCUGUUAUUAGGGAAGAACAAAUGUGUAAGUAACUAUGCACGUCUUGACGGUACCUAAUCAGAAAGCCACGGCUAACUACGUG